UUCCGGUUGAUCCCGCCGGAAGUCACUGCUAUCGGGGUCUGACUAAGCCAUGCGAGUCCGAGACGGGGUUAAGCUCAAUCAGCGCUGAUGAUCUGGCUAUAGGCUCAGUAACACGUCGUGAAUCUGCCCUUGGGUCCGGGAUAACCCCGGGAAACUGGGGCUAAUACCGGAUAGAUCAAAGAUACUGGGAUGUUCUCUGGUCCAAAGCUCCGGCGCCCAAGAAUGGGUCUGCGGCCUAUUAAGUAGUUAUGGUGGUAACGUACCUACUAACCUACGACGGGUAACGGUUGUGAGAGCAAGAGCCCUGAGAUGGAUUCUGAAACAUGAAUCCGGGCCCUACGGGGUGCAGCAGGCGCGAAAACUUUACAAUGCGGGCAACCGCGAUAAGGAGACCCCGAGUGCCAGCACAAUGGUGUUGGCUGUCCCACUGCGUUAAAACACAGCUGGAAUAAGGGCCGGGCAAGACCGGUGCCAGCCGCCGCGGUAACACCGGCGGCCCGAGUGGUAACUGUUAUUAUUGGGUUUAAAGGGUCCGUAGCCGGCCUGUUAAGUCUCUUGGGAAAUCUGGCGGCUCAAUCGUCAGGCGGCCAAGAGAUACUGGUAGGCUUGGGACCGGGAAAAGUGGGAAGUACUCCAAGGUAAGGGUGAAAUCUUGUAAUCCUUGGGGGACCACCGAUUGGGAAAGCAUCCAACCAGAACGGGUCCGACGGUUAGGGACAAAAGUUGGGGGCGAACCGGAUUAGAUACCCGGGUAAUCCCAACCGUAAACGAUGCUGGCUAGGUGUCAGGUGCGGUAUGACCGC
rnacentral:rRNA from 1 species